rnacentral:rRNA from 1 species
UACGUAGGGGGCAAGCGUUGUCCGGAUUCAUUGGGCGUAAAGAGCGUGUAGGCGGCCAGGUAGGUCGGUUGUGAAAACUGGAGGCUCAACCUUCAGAGGUCGACCGAAACCAUCUGGCUAGAGUCCGGGAGAGGAGAGUGGAAUUCCUGGUGUAGCGGUGAAAUGCGUAGAUAUCGUAAGGAAGACCAGUGGCGAAGGCGGGUCUCUGGACAGUUCCUGACGCUGAGGCACGAAGG